GAAGCUGCUAAGGCUAUGGCGGAGAAGGCGAGACGGAGCACUGCGGAAAAGAUAAGGUUCAGAUGAGAAAAAUAAUAUGUGGCAGAGAAAGCAAAUGGUUGGUUGGAUCGUGUUUAAUCCAACGCGCGGCAUGCGAUCGGCCAAAUCACUCGGCCGGCGUGUCGUACAGAAACAUUUUCCAAAUAGAAAUCCAAAAAAAACAAUAAUAAGAGGACCGGACU
rnacentral:lncRNA from 1 species